GAUGAACGCUGGCGGCGUGCCUAAUACAUGCAAGUCGAGCGAACGGACGAGAAGCUUGCUUCUCUGAUGUUAGCGGCGGACGGGUGAGUAACACGUGGAUAACCUACCUAUAAGACUGGGAUAACUUCGGGAAACCGGAGCUAAUACCGGAUAAUAUUUUGAACCGCAUGGUUCAAAAGUAAAAGACAGUCUUGCUGUCACUUAUAGAUGGAUCCGCGCUGCAUUAGCUAGUUGGUAAGGUAACGGCUUACCAAGGCAACGAUGCAUAGCCGACCUGAGAGGGUGAUCGGCCACACUGGAACUGAGACACGGUCCAGACUCCUACGGGAGGCAGCAGUAGGGAAUCUUCCGCAAUGGGCGAAAGCCUGACGGAGCAACGCCGCGUGAGUGAUGAAGGUCUUCGGAUCGUAAAACUCUGUUAUUAGGGAAGAACAUAUGUGUAAGUAACUGUGCACAUCUUGACGGUACCUAAUCAGAAAGCCACGGCUAACUACGUG
rnacentral:rRNA from 1 species